CGCGAACCUACUCUCCGACGUGA
rnacentral:siRNA from 1 species